GGCCAGAGCAAGGAGGAGUGCUGCUUCUGGAGUGAGAGGCAGCCCUGAGGAGCAUCAUGCAUGGAAUGAAGCCGUAUUCUCUUGAAUCAUAGAAUGAAAGAAUGGCCUGGGUUGAAAAGGACCACAGUGACCAUUGGGUUUCAACCCCCCACACUAUGUGCAGGGUCACCAAGGGUUGCUCUUGCUGUAGUUUAACUUAAAUAGACUGUUGUAACAUGCACUUAAAGCAAAGAACUGAAGGGAACUGUUUUCCUGUGGAUGUGAUAUUGAUGUGGGAGCAAGAAGAAAUUGUAAUGGAUCUUAAGAGUUUUAGGGUGUUGUAAGCCUGCAAGGCAGGGCUGUCCAGCACUGCUCUGUGUCAGUGAUGUGUUUGUGUCAGUAAUGUCCCUCUGCUCCAAAUGUGUCCCAGGGGAACUUCAUCAGCCCUGGGUAGCACAGGGCACUGAGAAUGAUACUGGGUCCACCUGGUGGAAUAAUUAGUCUCAAGCAAUCUGAAAAGCUAAAUUAAGCCAUCAAUUGCAAUCUCAGCUUUAGCAGUCUGGCAAUGAAAUGGUUCUUCGCGUUCUUUCGGAGGCAAAAAAAAGACUUGCAGCAGUGUUUAGUGCUGGGGAAAUGUGAGGCACUCUGUUCUGACAGACAAGGCUGAGAAUCCCUGAGAGAAUUGGGAGCCUUGUUCCCAUUUGGCUUUGUCUAUAGACAGAGUUGAAAGAGCACUCCUAUUUGCAACGAAGACAGAUCUUUCUCAGUUUGUGUGCUUGCUUGAUGUGGCCUUUGGCUAAGAGUUCCUGCUACAGCCAAAGGAGCUGUUCAGAUCUUCCAGAAGGCGACUAUAAAUAGGCUGCUUUGAUGUAUGAAGUUGUUAAAUGGAUAACAGAGGAAGGAAAACAACAAACAUACUGCUGGAAAGGUUCACGUCUUGCAGUUCCUAAACGCACAGCACAGCUGGAGGAAACCAAGCUGGAGUGAAGCUGUGUGAUGCUGGAGAGGGCAUUCUGUGGGGACCUUGAAAAGGCAGCAAAACUCCUCUGGCCCUUAUCCAGCUAUGUUGUGAGCUGGGAUGUCAGAGAUACCAGCAAUAACAUGGGAAUUAGAAGAAUCUUGUCUUACUGCUUGCGUGAAGAUAUUGAUGCAAAAGCAAGACUUAAGUGAAAGAGGAUUUGGAUCCUUAUGGGUCCCUUCCAACUUGGGAUGUUCUAUGAGCCAAUGAAAUAAUUAAGCU
ensembl:lncRNA